rnacentral:misc_RNA from 1 species
AACUGCGAUAAGUAGUGUGAAUUGCAUUUAGUGAAUCAUCGAAUCUUUGAACGCACCUUGCACUCACUGGUAUUCCGGUGAGUACGCCUGUUUCAGUAUCAUUGAAAACACACAAUCAAAACAUUUUCUUUGGUUUGAUUGGCUUUGGGUCUAUCAAAAAGUUUGGCUUGUUUCUUACAAGCCAAGCGGCCUGAAAUAUAUUGUCUGGCUAAUUGCAUCGUUGAUGAUCGCUAUUAGACUUUGGCUUUUUUAAAUGAACUGGAGGUUGAUUAACCAGUUUUAGCUUUAGUCAAAUGGUCAUUGUAAAAAAAAUCUCGAUCUUGGCUAGGUGUUUAUAGCCGAAAAUUUUUUUUUGGCUAUAACCGAAACCAAUAUAAUCACAUUUAGUUAUCGAUCUGAAAUCAGGUGGGACUACCCGCUGAACUUAAGU